UGUAUAUACCACAGUAUGGUGAGUUGGCAUUGUAAAGCUUUGAUUAGCCAGAACUUAAUUAAAACCUUAAAUUUAAAAGAGUUUCUUCUGAUGCAUGUUCCAGUUACCAGUUUAUUUCUUCUCAGCUCAAAUCCACCCUUUACUACCCUGCUUUGUGAUGCUGGAGUUGGACCCUGUAAAUAUUUCUCCUUUGCAGUUGGCAUGAUGCCUUGUCAGGAAAGAGCACUGGAGGUCCACUGCAGGAGGAAAGUGCUUCUCUUCUUUGUUCUGAUGUGGUUUUCCUUCUCCUGCAGUGCAUGGCAGCCAGUGGAUACCAGAAUCCUAACCACACUCAACCAUCCAGCACAUCUCACAGCUACUCCACAAGGUGAUUUCUUCUCCAUCCUGACUUGUAGCACCUCAGUGAAUUUCUCUACCACCCAAUGGAUGACAGCUACACCCUCUUCAUUACAGCACUCCUACAUAAUGAGCCUCACCUGGGAAGGACAGACAUCUAUGCCGUAGUUUGAAAAGAUCCCUUUUCUCUUUCCUCACACCACGUUUAUUAGUUUUCAAAGACCAUAUGGUGCUAAUUGAUGAUAAAAGUAACAGCGUGAAUCACAGACUGUUUUAUGGACCAGUCCCUUCUUCAUCUUGAACAGGAUGACAUAAAGCAGGCAUCCAUGGGGCCACUGACAUAAAACACCCCGAGUCCCCACCUGCAGAGAGGCAGAAUUCACAGAAGUAAAGAGAAUAAGGCAAGAAAACACAGAUAUUUUACUUCCUGGUAGAAUUGGAAUCAAAAUGACCAGACAGCGGCAUGAGAAUUAAAUGGCCUUUCUAAUGCAUUUUGGUAUCCAGUGAAGUCCAUUAUAUAAUUGCAAUCCAUCGUUAUACUAAUCUUUUACUCUGGAUUAUGUUGUGAAAUUGUCCUGUUUUCAUGAUACCACUGUUUGUUGUUGUUUUUGUCUCUGUUUAUUUUGCUUCUAAAAUAUUUCCUGUUUGAUUUUUUUCUCUAUUUAAAAAUAUUACAUAGAAGUAUAAGAAUUUGUAUUCCUGCUGCUUAGGGGGUUCUUUCUGUGUGAUGGUUGGUGUUGAGUCAUGUACCCAGUUGAUGUAGAGGGUGGUUCUUGAGGAAAAUCCCUUGAGAGGCCAACCAUGGCUUCUGUUUCUCUGAAAAUAUAUUGUUUCUAAAUUGCCCAUAAUUUUUCUAGAAAAGUUUAAAUGAAAUUUCUCCUUAACCUAGAGAAGUUUUAAAUGA